AAAACGGCCCUUUUCAGGGCCACAAUGGGUUAUACCAAAGAAAUG
rfam:Drosophila sechellia strain Rob3c scaffold_91 genomic scaffold, whole genome shotgun sequence.